rnacentral:rRNA from 1 species
UACGUAGGGUGCGAGCGUUAAUCGGAAUUACUGGGCGUAAAGCGUGCGCAGGCGGUUAUGUAAGACAGUUGUGAAAUCCCCGGGCUUAACCUGGGAAUUGCAUCUGUGACUGCAUAGCUAGAGUACGGUAGAGGGGGAUGGAAUUCCGCGUGUAGCAGUGAAAUGCGUAGAUAUGCGGAGGAACACCGAUGGCGAAGGCAAUCCCCUGGACCUGUACUGACGCUCAUGCACGAAAGCGUGGGGAGCAAACAGG